GUCUUUCGCGAUAUUUCACAA
rnacentral:miRNA from 1 species